AGAGUUUGAUCCUGGCUCAGAAUGAACGUUGGCGGCGUGGAUUAGGCAUGCGAGUCGCGCGAUAAUGUAGCAAUACAGGACAGCGGCGAAAGGGAGAGGACAACAUAGGAAUCUGCCCUGGGGUCGGGGAUAGCGUCGGGAAACUGACGGUAAUACCCGAUAAUAUCCAAGGAUCAAAGGAGCAAUUUGCCCCGGGAUGAGCCUAUGCCCCAUUAGCUAGUUGGCGGUGUAAUGGACCACCAAGGCUGUGAUGGGUAGCUGGUGUGAGAGCACGACCAGCCUCACUGGCACUGAGACACUGGCCAGACACCUACGGGUGGCUGCAGUCGAGAAUCUUCGGCAAUGGACGAAAGUCUGACCGAGCGACGCCGCGUGUGGGAUGAAGGUCUUCGGAUUGUAAACCACUGUCGAGGGGGAUUAAGGGAAACUUGAAAGAACCCUGGAGGAAGGGGAGGCUAAGCUCGUGCCAGCAGCCGCGGUAAGACGAGCUCCCCAAACGUUAUUCGGUAUUACUGGGCUUAAAGAGUUCGUANGCGGCGAAGUAGGUGAGGUGUGAAAGCCCUCGG
rnacentral:rRNA from 1 species